AUUGAACGCUGGCGGCAUGCCUUACACAUGCAAGUCGAACGGUAACAGGUUAAGCUGACGAGUGGCGAACGGGUGAGUAAUGUAUCGGAACGUGCCCAGUCGUGGGUGAUAACUGCUCGAAAGAGCAGCUAAUACCGCAUACGACCUGAGGGUGAAAGCGGGGGAUCGCAAGACCUCGCGCGAUUGGAGCUGCCGAUAUCAGAUUAGGUAGUUGGUGAGGUAAAGGCUCACCAAGCCGACGAUCUGUAGCUGGUCUGAGAGGACGACCAGCCACACUGGGACUGAGACACGGCCCAGACUCCUACGGGAGGCAGCAGUGGGGAAUUUUGGACAAUGGGCGCAAGCCUGAUCCAGCCAUGCCGCGUGCGGGAAGAAGGCCUUCGGGUUGUAAACCGCUUUUGUCAGGGAAGAAAAGGUUCUGGCUAAUACCUGGGACUCAUGACGGUACCUGAAGAAUAAGCACCGGCUAACUACGUG
rnacentral:rRNA from 1 species